CCCGUGCCUUCCUUGGCGCGUGGGGGCGCGUGCCACAGUAAAAAAUUAUUUUAAAAAUUUUUCGACGUCCGUGACGUCGAGUAGGUCAAUGUGGUAUAUUCAUAUACCCAAUUUGAGCACCGUAUGAGAAGUUAUUAAGAAUUGUUUGUUAGGUGCUUAAAUAAUGUUUUAUAGUUUCGCAUUUAGGUGAAAAUGUGAAUUGACGAUCCGACCGUUGGAUCGUCACCAAACUUUGAUGCGUUGUAAUACGUAAUAAUUGAGGAUUAUAAGAAUUUACGGAUUGGGAAUCCGAUUUACGGAUCUUCCGGAAUUGGAGUUGUAAGUCCAUAAUAUAGAAUGUUAACCGUCACUUAGUUUUGUUAAUUGACGGAGAUCCGACCGUUGGAUGGUAAUGAAAUUUUAGGAUGUUGUCCUAGAGAUAUAUUGUGGACCUCUGGAAGUUAUGGAUUUAAAAUCUGAGUGGCAGAUCUUCCGGAUCGAACUUCGUAGUGACGUAUUUUAUAUAAGUUAUAUAUUCUAUCGAUAUGAAUUCUGAGGUUGGAUUUGAUUAUUGUUUUAGGCGCCGAUCGUCAUGACGCCUUGGCGUAUUCUGCUAGGGAGUUGUAGGGCGAACUCCAGGUGAGUGGGCAGUUUUGAUUUCGUAUUACCUAUAUACAACUGUUUUUCCCAGAAAAUACGUUUUUAUGAAAGUUAUGAAUUAAUUUGCCAUGCAUGCAAUUGUUGAGAUAUCUAGAUUGAUAAUUGAUGCAUAUAUAUGUGAAUUGACGCGGUGGACGCACAUGUGAGUUUUAUUAUUAUUCAGCUGAGUUAUUUAUAUAAAUUGCAUUGAAAGCUCAUAAGCUGCACCUAGGUGUUAGUGCUUAUAUUGUUAUUCACCACACCGCACGCUCGUCUUGGAU
rnacentral:lncRNA from 1 species